rnacentral:siRNA from 1 species
GUAGACCAAGUCCGGGUGUCUA